UAGGGAAUCUUCGGCAAUGGGGGCAACCCUGACCGAGCAACGCCGCGUGAGUGAAGAAGGUUUUCGGAUCGUAAAGCUCUGUUGUAAGUCAAGAACGAGUGUGAGAGUGGAAAGUUCACACUGUGACGGUAGCUUACCAGAAAGGGACGGCUAACUACGUGCCAGCAGCCGCGGUAAUACGUAGGUCCCGAGCGUUGUCCGGAUUUAUUGGGCGUAAAGCGAGCGCAGGCGGUUUGAUAAGUCUGAAGUUAAAGGCUGUGGCUCAACCAUAGUUCGCUUUGGAAACUGUCAAACUUGAGUGCAGAAGGGGAGAGUGGAAUUCCAUGUGUAGCGGUGAAAUGCGUAGAUAUAUGGAGGAACACCGGUGGCGAAAGCGGCUCUCUGGUCUGUAACUGACGCUGAGGCUCGAAAGCGUGGGGAGCGAACAGGAUUAGAUACCCUGGUAGUCCACGCCGUANCGAUGAGUGCUAGGUGUUGGAUCCUUUCCGGGAUUCAGUGCCGCAGCUAACGCAUUANCACUCCGCCUGGGGGAGUACGACCGCAAGGU
rnacentral:rRNA from 1 species